UACGGGGGGGGCAAGCGUUGUUCGGAAUUACUGGGCGUAAAGGGCGUGUAGGCGGCCAACUAAGUCCGACGUGAAAUCCCCAGGCUUAACCUGGGAACUGCGUCGGAUACUGGAUGGCUUGAAUUCGGGAGAGGGAUGCAGAAUUCCAGGUGUAGCGGUGAAAUGCGUAGAUAUCUGGAGGAACACCGGUGGCGAAGGCGGGUCUCUGGGCCGAAACUGACGCUGAGGAGCGAAAGCGUGGGGAGCAAACAGG
rnacentral:rRNA from 1 species